rnacentral:rRNA from 1 species
AGCGAACGCUGGCGGCAGGCCUAACACAUGCAAGUCGAACGGACCCUUCGGGGGUAGUGGCGGACGGGUGAGUAACACGUGGGAACGUGCCUUUAGGUUCGGAAUAGCUCCUGGAAACGGGUGGUAAUGCCGAAGGUGCCCUUCGGGGGAAAGAUUUAUCGCCUUUAGAGCGGCCCGCGUCUGAUUAGCUAGUUGGUGAGGUAACGGCUCACCAAGGCGACGAUCAGUAGCUGGUCUGAGAGGAUGACCAGCCACACUGGGACUGAGACACGGCCCAGACUCCUACGGGAGGCAGCAGUGGGGAAUCUUGCGCAAUGGGCGAAAGCCUGACGCAGCCAUGCCGCGUGAAUGAUGAAGGUCUUAGGAUUGUAAAAUUCUUUCACCGGGGACGAUAAUGACGGUACCCGGAGAAGACGCCCCGGCUAACUUCGUGCCAGCAGCCGCGGUAAAAC